GAAUGACCUCAUAAGGGCGUAUGGAGGAUGCCUUGACACUAAAAGGCGAUGAAGGUCGUGGCGUGUCUGCGAUAAGCGUCGGGGAGGUGACUAGCAACCUACGAUCCGGCGAUGACCGAAUGGGAAAACCCCAUUGUGCAAACCACAAUGACCCGCUCAAGUUUUUGGAAAUUAAAAAGCCCCCUUAAGGGCUACGAAAUCUCUUUGGGAAGAAAUAUCUCAAGAGUUCGUUGAGUAAGGCAAAAAGAACAAGCCAGACUAAAGUUCCAACUAGAUUUCUAUAAAAGAAGUAGAAUAGACAACCACCAAUCAGGUAAGAAACAAGUCUUGUUGUAAUCAUGAGUCUAAAGAGCCAGUAAUUUGUUUAUAAUACCAUUUUUAGUCUUUGUCAAUUGAAUUAAUUGACUCUAAAAAUUUGAGCGGGAGCAAACCUGGGGAAGUAAAACAUUUCAGUACCCAGAGGAAAAUAAACCGAAAGGAUUCCGUUAGUAGCGGCGAGCGAAUGCGGAAUAGCCUAAACCGUUUUUCGAAAGAGAAGCGGGGUAAUAAGGAUAGUACACCAAAAAUUUUAAUUUCGGUCUCUUUGAUCGAGAUUAAAGUUUUUAAAGAAGUUACAAAUUCCAAAGUUAGCAGAACGGCCCUGGAAAGGCCGACCAUAGAGGGUGAUAGUCCUGUAUGCGAAAACUUCUGGAACUUCUGUAUUAUUUCUUGAGUAGCCCGGGAUAAGAAUGUCCUGGGUGAAUUUGCCCAUACUACUGGGUAAGGCUAAAUACUUUUAGUGAUCGAUAGUGAACCAGUACCGUGAGGGAAAGGUGAAAAGCACCCCGGUGAGGGGAGUGAAAUAGUAACUGAAAC
rfam:Candidatus Yanofskybacteria bacterium RIFCSPHIGHO2_02_FTLL_41_11 rifcsphigho2_02_scaffold_4354, whole genome shotgun sequence.